GGUGAACGCUGGCGGCGUGCCUAAGACAUGCAAGUCGAGCGGGGCAGGUUUAUACCUGUUCAGCGGCGGACGGGUGAGUAACGCGUGGGUGACCUACCCGGAAGAGGCUGACAACCUGGGGAAACCCAGGCUAAUCCGCCAUGUGGUCCUGUCCUGUGUGGCAGGACUAAAGUGGCGACCCGCUUCCGGAUGGGCCCGCGUCCCAUCAGCUAGUGGGUCGGGUAAAGGCCCACCAAGGCGACGACGGGUAGCCGGUCUGAGAGGAUGGCCGGCCACAGGGGCACUGAGACACGGGCGCCACUCCUAGGGGGGGCAGCAGUUAGGAAUCUUACGGAAUGGAGGGAAGUCUGACGGAGAGACGCCGCUUGGAGGAGGACGCCCUUCGGGGUGUAAACUCCUGAACUGGGGACGAAAGCCCCGUGUAGGGGGAUGACGGUACCCAGGUAAUAGCGCCGGCCAACUCCGUG
rnacentral:rRNA from 1 species